rnacentral:miRNA from 1 species
UCUAGCCUAACAAACUCCCGU